GUUGGGCAGGGCUGUGAUCAUGGCCCUGACACAAUGGUCUCGAGCCACAGUGACAAGCAACCAAGGGGGACAGAGAGAGCUUGCUACCUUUCCCUAGCCAGAGUUGGUGUGCAGCCUCUGGAGGUCCUUCCACUCUGCCCAGUCAUGGACUCUUGUCCCCUGGCCCAGAGGACCAUGAUUGAGCUUCAUAACCUGUGUGUUCCACCUUGACAUGCUCCCUCUAUAUACCCCCAUCCACCAGAGAUAUGCUCUAGACAGGCACAGCCACAAGCAGCAACACCCUCCUGCAGAAAACUUAUAGCCAGGCCUGCUACCAAAGACACCAAAGCCAUUCAAAUAAGUCUCAAAACGUUUCAGGUACCCAGGGCAGCAUAAACCCAGCUUUCCACAGCGUUCCAUUAGGAGUUUGUUUGUCUUUCUGUCUAGCAUGCUACACCCUCUAAGCACAGUUUGCCCUUAGCUUAGAUCAAGUUCGUGUCAGUCCACUGCAGCCCAGAAAAUUCCAUCAUGCUUACAACCCCAGAGUCACUCUCAGUACAUGCUGGGCCCAGGGCCAGUGGGUUUAUGCUCUGUGGUGUUCUAGGGCCUUCAGGAUCCUGCUCCCUAGGAUGGUGAACAUAAGUCACUGUAUUCUUUCAGGCAUCUCAUUAGCUUAUUGGGUUCUCCCUCAAUAUUUAAAAUAUUCACAUUCCAAGUGAGCUUAGUGGUGUAUGUCUAUGAUCUCAAUACAUAAGAAGUUGAGGCAGGAGGGUCAUGUGUUUGAGACUACUAGCCUUGGC
rnacentral:lncRNA from 1 species